rnacentral:rRNA from 1 species
UACGGGGGGAGCAAGCGUUGUUCGGAUUUACUGGGCGUAAGGGGCGCGUAGGCGGCCACCGCAAGUCGACUGUGAAAUCUCCGGGCUUAACCCGGAAAGGUCAGCCGAUACUGCGGGGCUAGAGUGCAGAAGGGGCAACUGGAAUUCUCGGUGUAGCGGUGAAAUGCGUAGAUAUCGAGAGGAACACCUGCGGCGAAGGCGGCUCACUGGCCCGGUACUGACGCUGAGGCGCGAAGGCGUGGGGAGCGAACGGG